UGGGGAAUCUUGGACAAUGGGGGCAACCCUGAUCCAGCGAUGCCGCGUGAGCGAAGAAGGCCUUAGGGUUGUAAAGCUCUUUCGCCCGCGACGAUGAUGACGGUAGCGGGAGAAGAAGCCCCGGCUAACUACGUGCCAGCAGCCGCGGUAAUACGUAGGGGGCAAGCGUUGUCCGGAUUUACUGGGUGUAAAGGGCGCGCAGGCGGGAUAAAAAGUCAGUGGUGAAAUCCUACAGCUUAACUGUAGAACUGCCUUUGAUACUUUUAUUCUUGAGUUCGGGAGAGAGAGACGGAAUUCCAGGUGUAGUGGUGAAAUACGUAGAUAUCUGGAAGAACACCAGUUGCGAAGGCGGUCUCUUGGUCCGACACUGACGCUGAGGCGCGAAAGCGUGGGGAGCAAACA
rnacentral:rRNA from 1 species